AUUGAACGCUGGCGGCAGGCUUAACACAUGCAAGUCGAGCGGGGUGAUGGUGCUUGCACUAUCACUUAGCGGCGGACGGGUGAGUAAUGCUUAGGAAUCUGCCUAUUAGUGGGGGACAACAUCUCGAAAGGGAUGCUAAUACCGCAUACGUCCUACGGGAGAAAGCAGGGGAUCACUUGUGACCUUGCGCUAAUAGAUGAGCCUAAGUCGGAUUAGCUAGUUGGUGGGGUAAAGGCCUACCAAGGCGACGAUCUGUAGCGGGUCUGAGAGGAUGAGCCGCCACCCUGGGACUGAGACACGGCCCAGACUCCUACGGGAGGCAGCAGUGGGGAAUAUUGGACAAUGGGGGGAACCCUGAUCCAGCCAUGCCGCGUGUGUGAAGAAGGCCUUAUGGUUGUAAAGCACUUUAAGCGAGGAGGAGGCUCUUUUGGUUAAUACCCAAGAUGAGUGGACGUUACUCGCAGAAUAAGCACCGGCUAACUCUGUGCCAGCCGCCGCGGUAA
rnacentral:rRNA from 1 species